GGACGAACGCUGGCGGCGUGCCUAAUACAUGCAAGUCGAACGAACUCUGGUAUUGAUUGGUGCUUGCAUCAUGAUUUACAUUUGAGUGAGUGGCGAACUGGUGAGUAACACGUGGGAAACCUGCCCAGAAGCGGGGGAUAACACCUGGAAACAGAUGCUAAUACCGCAUAACAACUUGGACCGCAUGGUCCGAGYUUGAAAGAUGGCUUCGGCUAUCACUUUUGGAUGGUCCCGCGGCGUAUUAGCUAGAUGGUGRGGUAACGGCUCACCAUGGCAAUGAUACGUAGCCGACCUGAGAGGGUAAUCGGCCACAUUGGGACUGAGACACGGCCCAAACUCCUACGGGAGGCAGCAGUAGGGAAUCUUCCACAAUGGACGAAAGUCUGAUGGAGCAACGCCGCGUGAGUGAAGAAGGGUUUCGGCUCGUAAAACUCUGUUGUUAAAGAAGAACAUAUCUGAGAGUAACUGUUCAGGUAUUGACGGUAUUUAACCAGAAAGCCACGGCUAACUACGUGCCAGCAGCCGCGGUAAUACGUAGGUGGCAAGCGUUGUCCGGAUUUAUUGGGCGUAAAGCGAGCGCAGGCGGUUUUUUAAGUCUGAUGUGAAAGCCUUCGGCUCAACCGAAGAAGUGCAUCGGAAACUGGGAAACUUGAGUGCAGAAGAGGACAGUGGAACUCCAUGUGUAGCGGUGAAAUGCGUAGAUAUAUGGAAGAACACCAGUGGCGAAGGCGGCUGUCUGGUCUGUAACUGACGCUGAGGCUCGAAAGUAUGGGUAGCAAACA
rnacentral:rRNA from 2 species